rnacentral:misc_RNA from 1 species
AUAUAAAGCUCCCACAUUAGAUGGAUUAUUGUUCAGUUCCAAUAAAAUCAAGUGAUAAUUCAUUUAAAAUGCAAAGUUUGGCUCUGAAUGUCCUGAGAUAUUGUGCAAUCAAGGAAGUCAAGAAUAAUGUUGGAAAAGUUGUUAGGAGAUAAAGAAAUGAAGUGAUUUAUAAAACAGAGGCCGGAUAAGUCAAAUUGACUUAGAUUAUUUUGACAAUAAGUUAAUCCAAUUAUUUAAACCCAUUAAGACAAUUUUAAUUCACACUCUAACUCAUAAAAUUCUAAUAUAUAAUUCAAUUUUGAAAUUAUAUUAAUUUAAUUUUUAAUUAUAAUUUGGAAGUUUAAAUUUCGGAUUUAGGAAAUAUUAG